CCACUACCGCGUUACGUCAGGUCCCGUACACACUGGAGCCUCGAAACGUUUGGAGAAAGCUUCCUCAAAAAGUCGAGCCGCUUCCUUCGGCUAGCGCUGCAGCAGUGUGGAGGCGGUGGUAGGAGUUUUAACGGGGAUUUAAGGUGGUGCUGCUUUUGACUGGGUCUAAUCCUCUUCACUGAUAGAAGCAGGGAGCCUGAAAGGCAGUCAGAUGACUCCAGCUCCAACGUCCUUCGCCUCUGUCCAUGCCGCCCAGGUCCUGAGCUAGAUCUGCCCUGCCCUCCUCUGACUGUCCCUCUUCUGUCCUACGACAGCUAUAGGAAUAACACACGGUUUAUACGGCGUACAGCUAAACCAGAGUAUGUGUCUGCCUUUGUGCUAGCUGGGCAUCUGAAGCUUUCGCUCUGGAGCCACUGAGCAGGAAACGGCAACUUUUAUUAAGCAUGGCAGAAGGCUGUAGGAAGAGCGGAGAGAUGCAGGGUGCUACAUCACACACCAGCUCUGUGCUCAAUUCCACAGCCAGAGAAAGCGCUCAGCUGCAUAGCUAUUAGCUGCAUAGAGUGAGGAGUCCUCUGCUGCACAGCAAAUGCCGUGUUAAAUCUCCCCCAGCACCGCAUCAGCUAGAUCCCGAUCCUCGACGUUGACCAAAGACGAAAAUGUCUUUUGCAUGCAACAAAAUGAGGUCUAGCCCAUUUAGGAAGAACAUGCACCUUGAAUGCAUAACGCUACACCAUCUGUUUGAUGCUUGUGCACACAGUCUCUGCAUGCGCGGCAAUAUAUUACA